UGAUAAUGAAGAUGAUGAAAGAAAAAGAAGUCUGUGAACUAUUAGACAGGCCCCUGUCCCAGGGUGUCGGAGAUUCAAGAUUACCUCUGUAGCAGUUGCUCAUCAACAGGCUCAACACCAGAUCAUUGAAAUUAUUGGGAGUACCAGUGGAAUCUGCAGCAUGUCUGGGUAUGAAGUGAGUACAGGUGCUGAAGAUUACUGGGAAUUUUAAUGCUGUCUGUUGACUUUGCAAUGAGAACUGUUUCAUGCUGUUGAGAUGUCUAUGUUCAUGGAAAAGAAUAGACCUGCUCA
rnacentral:lncRNA from 1 species